rnacentral:rRNA from 1 species
GACGUAGGGUGCGAGCGUUGUCCGGAUUUAUUGGGCGUAAAGAGCUCGUAGGCGGCUCGUCGCGUCGACCGUGAAAACCCGCGGCUUAACUGCGGGCUUGCGGUUGAUACGGGCGGGCUAGAGUUCGGUAGGGGAGACUGGAAUUCCUGGUGUAGCGGUGAAAUGCGCAGAUAUCAGGAAGAACACCAAUGGCGAAAGCAGCUUUCUGGGACGGUACUGACGCUGAGACGCGAAAGCGUGGGGAGCGAACAGG